rnacentral:rRNA from 1 species
UACGUAGGGUGCGAGCGUUGUCCGGAAUUAUUGGGCGUAAAGGGCUCGUAGGCGGUCUGUCACGUCGGGAGUGAAAACUCAGGGCUUAACCCUGAGCCUGCUUCCGAUACGGGCUGACUAGAGGUAUGCAGGGGAGAACGGAAUUCCUGGUGUAGCGGUGAAAUGCGCAGAUAUCGGGAGGAACACCGGUGGCGAAGGCGGUUCUCUGGGCCUUACCUGACGCUGAGGAGCGAAAGCGUGGGGAGCGAACAGG